rnacentral:rRNA from 1 species
UACGGAGGGGGCUAGCGUUGUUCGGAAUUACUGGGCGUAAAGAGCUCGUAGGCGGCCUGUUGCGUCCGCUGUGAAAGCCCGGGGCUUAACCCUGGAAUUGCCUUUAAGACUGCAUCGCUAGAAUCGUGGAGAGGUGAGUGGAAUUCCGAGUGUAGAGGUGAAAUUCGUAGAUAUUCGGAAGAACACCAGUGGCGAAGGCGACUUACUGGACACAUAUUGACGCUGAGGUGCGAAAGCGUGGGGAGCAAACAGG